GAGUUUGAUCAUGGCUCAGAGUGAACGCUGGCGGCGUGCCUAAUACAUGCAAGUCGAACGGAGAUUAAAGUAAGCUUGCUUAUUUUAAUCUUAGUGGCGCACGGGUGAGUAAUGUAUAGCUAAUCUGCCCUACACUAGAGGACAACAGUUGGAAACGACUGCUAAUACUCUAUACUCCUUCUUUACAUAAGUUAAGUCGGGAAAGUUUUUCGGUGUAGGAUGAGGCUAUAUCGUAUCAGCUAGUUGGUGAGGUAAAGGCUCACCAAGGCUAUGACGCGUAACUGGUCUGAGAGGAUGAUCAGUCACACUGGAACUGAGACACGGUCCAGACUCCUACGGGAGGCAGCAGUAGGGAAUAUUGCUCAAUGGGGGAAACCCUGAAGCAGCAACGCCGCGUGGAGGAUGACACUUUUCGGAGCGUAAACUCCUUUUCUUGGGAAAGAAUUAUGACG
rnacentral:rRNA from 1 species